AAUAAAAAAUGAUUUCUGGGCUGGUGCGGCGGUGCUCCCGAUCCCGAUCGGGAGCAGGAAAACGGCGGCAGAGAUCCAGGAGGCGGGAAACGGCGGGGAAGUGGCGGAGGUCGGGAUCCAUCCCGGUGGUUUGUAGUAGAGGCUGGCCGCGGCGGCGCUCCCGAUCCCCGAUCCGAUCGGUAGCAGGAUGACGGCGGCAGAGUUCCUGGAGGCGGGGAACGGUGGGGAAGUGGCGGAGGUCGGGAUCCAUCCCGACGGUUCGUAGUGGAGGCCGGCGGCGGCGGUGCUCCAUGGCUGUGGCGACUAGGUCUUCUGGGAAGAAGAUACAAGGGAGGGAGACGAGGUGAGAUGGAGAGAAUAGAAGGGAGAAUAGGGACUGCGUGGGUACCUGCUGCUGGUCCGACGGCGGCUCCGGUCAUCGGAUCAGGCCAACUCUUGAUGGAUUUCCAAUGUGUUGUUGGGCUCCCAAUUUUUUCCGUCGUGCAGUUGCUCCCCGUCUCCCUGUGUCGUCCCAAGAUGGUCCGACUGGGCGCUGUCCUGACGGCUGAGCGUGUGCUAUCCACGGAACACAGCUCCUCCACCUAGGCCCUCCUCCGUAACGCCGGCGAGGACACUACUUCGUCUGAACCGAUUAUCACAACCACGCACAGGAGCUCUAUGGCACAUGUAGCAGGUCUUGGGCAUGAUGGCCGGACGCGAUGAGGAGGACAUACUGGAUCCCCAUGGACGCCAAGGAUUCGAGGACAUUGGCAGAUGUAGAGGAGGCAAUGAGGACGGAGAUGAUUGCGGCACACAAUUUAAAUAAACUAGAAUAUCCUGAAAAUUAUAUUUGGUGUAUAGAAUUCAGUUUUAGUCUUUGAGUACAUUUUCAUGAUUCGCUUAUUCCAGUAGUGAGUAAAAAUAUGUAAAACUAUGUGACUUGUAAAUUUUUGAGUCUGUUGUGCGUCCCAACGAUUCCACCGGCAUCGGCCCUCCCCUACCGUGGUGCGGACUGCAGUAUUAGCUGUCUCCUUGGAGUCCUGAAGCAGCUCAAGGGCAUCGUCCUUGGUGCGCCUCCUCAAGGCUUGAUGCUUUCUACAGGAAAAAAUGAUUCUUUUCUUUGAGAUGAGGAAAAUUACUUCCCUUUCUACAGGAAAAGAUGGUUCUGUUAGAUAAAUGUCUUCCCAAGUUAAAGGCACAUGGCUCCGAAGUACUAAUAUUCUCUGAGGGGCACCAUAACAUAUGAAAAUUUUGAAGAGCUUUGUGAAGAUUUGUGGGAGCAGCUCCGACUCCAAUUAAAGAAGUUCCACGCAGCGGGCAUGAAGAUUGGUCACAUCUAUAUGUUUAGUUGUGCUGCAGUGAUUUACAGCCAGGGUUUACAGAUUGAUUUGAGAAAGUAUUUAACGCAAUUGGUCUCUUGGCAUAGGCUCAAGUAUAAAACUGAUAUGUAAUAUCUCCUUAUGUUUGUGCAAAUUGAUUUUGACAUGUGCUAUUCUGAAAAUGGAGCUUCUCUAUUGGAUGGCAGCUCAUGAUGGUAGUUUCAGAUAUGAAGCUAAGGAAAGCGUGCCUCAUAAUUCAUUAGAUGUAUCCCAGUAGGGCCAAUUAGAUAUUGUUGGUUGUAAAUGACAUGAGUUUUUAGCUUUCAUAAAAUCUAGAUUUGUACUCUUUAACAAUAAGCUGUGGAGGAGAGUGGUCUUAAAUGUGCUGGUUGAAUUUACCAAUGUUGGUUAUUUUGGUUUUAC